CACGUAGGGACCGAGCGUUGUCCGGAUUUAUUGGGCGUAAAGAGCUCGUAGGCGGUCGCGUAAGUCGGGUGUGAAAUCUCCAGGCUCAACUUGGAGGGGCCACCCGAUACUGCACGACUCGAGUCCGGUAGGGGAGUGGGGAAUUCCUGGUGUAGCGGUGAAAUGCGCAGAUAUCAGGAGGAACACCGGUGGCGAAGGCGCCACUCUGGGCCGGUACUGACGCUGAGGAGCGAAAGCGUGGGUAGCAAACAGG
rnacentral:rRNA from 1 species